rnacentral:rRNA from 1 species
AUUGAACGCUGGCGGCAUGCCUUACACAUGCAAGUCGAACGGUAACAGGUCUUCGGAUGCUGACGAGUGGCGAACGGGUGAGUAAUACAUCGGAACGUGCCUAGUAGUGGGGGAUAACUACUCGAAAGAGUGGCUAAUACCGCAUGAGAUCUACGGAUGAAAGCAGGGGAUCGCAAGACCUUGUGCUACUAGAGCGGCCGAUGGCAGAUUAGGAAGUUGGUGGGAUAAAAGCUUACCAAGCCGACGAUCUGUAGCUGGUCUGAGAGGACGAUCAGCCACACUGGGACUGAGACACGGCCCAGACUCCUACGGGAGGCAGCAGUGGGGAAUCUUGGACAAUGGGCGAAAGCCUGAUCCAGCAAUGCCGCGUGCAGGAUGAAGGCCUUCGGGUUGUAAACUGCUUUUGUACGGAACGAAAAGCCCUGGGUUAAUACCCUGGGGUCAUGACGGUACCGUAAGAAUAAGCACCGGCUAACUACGUGCCAGCCGCCGCCGUAA